UACGUAGGGUGCAGGCGUUAAUCGGAAUUACUGGGCGUAAAGCGUGCGCAGGCGGUUUGCUAAGACAGGUGUGAAAUCCCCGGGCUUAACCUGGGAACUGCGCUUGUUACUGGCAAGCUGGAGUGUGGCAGAGGGGGGUGGAAUUCCACGUGUAGCAGUGAAAUGCGUAGAUAUCGGGAGGAAUACCGAUGGCGAAGGCAGGUCUCUGGGCUGACACUGACGCUCAUGCACGAAAGCGUGGGGAGCAAACAGG
rnacentral:rRNA from 1 species